GGUUAAGUGAAUAAGGGCGCACGGUGGAUGCCUUGGCACUAGGAGCCGAUGAAGGACGGGACUAACACCGAUAUGCUUUGGGGAGCUGUAAGUAAGCUAUGAUCCAGAGAUUUCCGAAUGGGGGAACCCAAUAUCUUUUAUAGGAUAUUACUUUUCAGUGAAUACAUAGCUGAUUAGAGGUAGACGCAGAGAACUGAAACAUCUUAGUACCUGCAGGAAGAGAAAGAAAAUUCGAUUCCCUGAGUAGCGGCGAGCGAAACGGGAAGAGCCCAAACCAACAAGCUUGCUUGUUGGGGUUGUAGGACUCCAAUAUGGUAGUCUGUUAGUAUAGUUGAAGGAUUUGGAAAAUUCCGCUAAAGAGGGUGAAAGCCCCGUAGACGAAAUGCUGACAACACCUAGGAGGAUCCUGAGUACGGCGGAACACGAGAAAUUCCGUCGGAAUCCGCGGGGACCAUCCCGCAAGGCUAAAUACUCCCUAGUGACCGAUAGUGAACCAGUACCGUGAGGGAAAGGUGAAAAGCACCCCGGAAGGGGAGUGAAAUAGAUCCUGAAACCGUGUGCCUACAACAAGUCAAAGCUCGUUAAUGAGUGAUGGCGUGCCUUUUGUAGAAUGAACCGGCGAGUUACGAUUGCAUGCGAGGUUAAGUCGAAGAGACGGAGCCGCAGCGAAAGCGAGUCUGAAUAGGGCGAAUGAGUAUGUAGUCGUAGACCCGAAACCAUGUGAUCUACCCAUGUCCAGGUUGAAGGUGCGGUAAAACGCACUGGAGGACCGAACCCACGUACGUUGAAAAGUGCGGGGAUGAGGUGUGGGUAGCGGAGAAAUUCCAAACGAACUUGGAGAUAGCUGGUUCUCUCCGAAAUAGCUUUAGGGCUAGCCUCGGAAUUGAGAAUGAUGGAGGUAGAGCACUGUUUGGACUAGGGGCCCAUCUCGGGUUACCGAAUUCAGAUAAACUCCGAAUGCCAUUCAUUUAUAUCCGGGAGUCAGACUGCGAGUGAUAAGAUCCGUAGUCGAAAGGGAAACAGCCCAGACCACCAGCUAAGGUCCCAAAAUAUAUGUUAAGUGGAAAAGGAUGUGGGGUUGCACAGACAACUAGGAUGUUGGCUUAGAAGCAGCCACCAUUUAAAGAGUGCGUAAUAGCUCACUAGUCGAGUGACCCUGCGCCGAAAAUGUACCGGGGCUAAACAUAUUACCGAAGCUGUGGACUACACCAUUAGGUGUAGUGGUAGGAGAGCGUUCUAAGGGCGUUGAAGGUCGAUCGUGAGGACGGCUGGAGCGCUUAGAAGUGAGAAUGCCGGUAUGAGUAGCGAAAGACAGGUGAGAAUCCUGUCCACCGUAUGACUAAGGUUUCCUGGGGAAGGCUCGUCCGCCCAGGGUUAGUCGGGACCUAAGCCGAGGCCGAUAGGCGUAGGCGAUGGACAACAGGUUGAUAUUCCUGUACCAGUUGUUUUUGUUUGAACAAUGGAGGGACGCAGUAGGCUAAGGAAUGCAUGCGAUUGGAAGUGCAUGUCCAAGCAAUGAGUCUUGAGUAGAGUUAAAUGCUUUACUCUUUAAGGACAAGUUGUGACGGGGAGCGAAAUAAUAGUAGCGAAGUUCCUGAUGUCACACUGCCAAGAAAAGCUUCUAGUGAGAAAACAACUGCCCGUACCGUAAACCGACACAGGUAGUCGAGGAGAGUAUCCUAAGGUGAGCGAGCGAACUCUCGUUAAGGAACUCGGCAAAAUGACCCCGUAACUUCGGGAGAAGGGGUGCUGACUUCGGUCAGCCGCAGUGAAUAGGCCCAAGCGACUGUUUAUCAAAAACACAGGUCUCUGCAAAAUCGUAAGAUGAAGUAUAGGGGCUGACGCCUGCCCGGUGCUGGAAGGUUAAGAGGAUGGGUUAGCUUCGGCGAAGCUCAGAAUUGAAGCCCCAGUAAACGGCGGCCGUAACUAUAACGGUCCUAAGGUAGCGAAAUUCCUUGUCGGGUAAGUUCCGACCCGCACGAAAGGCGUAACGAUUUGGGCACUGUCUCAACGAGAGACUCGGUGAAAUUUUAGUACCUGUGAAGAUGCAGGUUACCCGCGACAGGACGGAAAGACCCCAUGGAGCUUUACUGUAGU
rnacentral:rRNA from 1 species